UACGGGGGGGGCAAGCGUUGUUCGGAAUUACUGGGCGUAAAGGGCUCGUAGGCGGCCAACUAAGUCAGACGUGAAAUACCUCGGCUCAACCGAGGAACUGCGCCUGAUACUGCUUGGCUUGAGGUCCGGAGGGGAGAGUGGAAUUCCCGGUGGAGCGGUGAAAUGCGUAGAGAUCGGGAAGAACGCCGGCGGCGAAAGCGACUCUCUGGUCGGAAUCUGACGCUGAGGUGCGAAAGCUAGGGGAGCAAACGGG
rnacentral:rRNA from 1 species